rnacentral:rRNA from 1 species
UACGUAGGGUGCAAGCGUUGUCCGGAAUUAUUGGGCGUAAAGAGCUCGUAGGCGGUCUGUCGCGUCUGCUGUGAAAUCCCGAGGCUCAACCUCGGGUCUGCAGUGGGUACGGGCAGACUGGAGUGCGGUAGGGGGAGAAUGGAAUUCCUGGUGUAGCGGUGAAAUGCGCAGAUAUCAGGAGGAACACCGAUGGCGAAGGCAGGUCUCUGGGCCAUAACUGACGCUGAGAAGCGAAAGCAUGGGGAGCGAACAGG